UAUAAGAGGUCCAGCCUGCCCAGUGACCGCAAGUUAAACGGCCGCGGUAUUUUAACCGUGCAAAGGUAGCGCAAUCACUUGUCUUUUAAAUAAAGACCUGUAUGAAUGGCUAAACGAGGGCUUAACUGUCUCCCAUUUCAAGUCAGUGAAAUUGAUUUACCCGUGCAGAAGCGGGUAUAAUAAUACAAGACGAGAAGACCCUUUGGAGCUUAAGGCGUAAAACUCAACCAUGUCAAGCAACUCAAUAAAAAGUAUUUAAACUUUGUGGUAAAUGAGACCACUGCCUUCGGUUGGGGCGACCACGGAGAAAAAGAAAGCCUCCAAGUGGACUGGGGUAUACCCCUAAAACCAAGAGAAACAUCUCUAAGCUACAGAAUAUCUGACCAUAAAUGAUCCGGUUAAUCAAUGACCGAUCAACGAACCAAGUUACCCUAGGGAUAACAGCGCAAUCCUCUCCCAGAGUCCAUAUCGACGAGGGGGUUUACGACCUCGAUGUUGGAUCAGGACAUCCUAAUGGUGCAGCCGCUAUUAAGGGUUCGUUUGUUCAACGAUUAAAGUCCUACGUGA
rnacentral:rRNA from 1 species